rnacentral:rRNA from 1 species
GUAGGUGGCAAGCGUUGUCCGGAAUUAUUGGGCGUAAAGCGCGCGCAGGGCGGCCCUUUAAGUCUGAUGUGAAAGCCCACGGCUCAACCGUGGAGGGUCAUUGGAAACUGGGGGACUUGAGUACAGAAGAGGAAAGCGGAAUUCCAAGUGUAGCGGUGAAAUGCGUAGAGAUUUGGAGGAACACCAGUGGCGAAGGCGGCUUUCUGGUCUGUAACUGACGCUGAGGCGCGAAAGCGUGGGGAGCAAACAGGAUUAGAUACCCUGGUAGUCCACGCCGUAAACGAUGAGUGCUAAGUGUUAGGGGGUUUCCGCCCCUUAGUGCUGCAGCUAACGCAUUAAGCACUCCGCCUGGGGAGUACGGCCGCAAAGGCUG